ACCAAUGAAAAAACAAAGCAGGCCUUCCGUGUUACUAGAGAAAAUGCAGUUUAAAACAUAUAUUUCUGUGAGGAAUAAUAGAACAGUUAUGGUUUUAUGGUAUUUCAGGUUUUUUUUUUUUUUCAUCUCUGCUAUGUUUAAUAUCGUUAUCAAUGACUUGGAGGCAAUAUUUUUGAUGUCCAAGGGUCAUAGAUGAGACAUAGUUUAAUUAAAGUACUAUUAUCUAUCCAGAACGGGAAUGAAAUCUAGGAAGACUGGUGGGUUGCGUUAUAUAGAAAAUGGAUGGCGCUGGAGCAUCGGGCCCAUACCCGGCUGUCGCUGGCAGUGCGAGGCCCGUGGGGGCUAGGCCGCGAUGAGUAGGAGGGCCGCUGUGGUGCGCCUCGAAGCCUGGGGCGUGGGCCCGGGUGGAGCCGCCGCAGGUGCAGAUCUUGGUGGUAGUAACAGGGGGCAGCCGCCGCAGGUGCAGAUCUUGGUGGUAGUAACAAAUAUUCAAACGAGAGCUUUGAAGGCCAAAGUGGAGCAGCAUUCCAUGUGAACAGUAGUUGAACAUGGGUCAGUCGGUCCUAAGUGAUAGGUGAGUGCCGUUCCGAAAGGGCGGGCAAUGGCCUCUGUUGCCCUCAGAUGAUCAAAAGGGAGUUGGGUUCAGAUCCCCAAAUCCUGAGUGGUUUUAUUUCUAUUUAAAAAAAAAAAAAAAAAAAAAAAAAAAAAAA
rfam:Pelecanus crispus contig63165, whole genome shotgun sequence.